rnacentral:rRNA from 1 species
AACGGCUGAGUAACACGGUGGGCAACCUGCCUUUGCACUGGGAUAGCCUCGGGAAACCGAGGUUAAUACCGGAUACUCCAUAUUUGUCGCAUGGCGAAUAUGGGAAAGCUCCGGCGGCAAAGGAUGGGCCCGCGGCCUGUUAGCUAGUUGGUGGGGUAGUGGCCUACCAAGGCAAUGAUGGGUAGCCGGGUUGAGAGACCGACCGGCCAGAUUGGGACUGAGACACGGCCCAGACUCCUACGGGAGGCAGCAGGC